UACGUAGGUGGCAAGCGUUAUCCGGAUUUAUUGGGCGUAAAGGGAACGCAGGCGGUCUUUUAAGUCUGAUGUGAAAGCCUUCGGCUUAACCGGAGUAGUGCAUUGGAAACUGGGAGACUUGAGUGCAGAAGAGGAGAGUGGAACUCCAUGUGUAGCGGUGAAAUGCGUAGAUAUAUGGAAGAACACCAGUGGCGAAAGCGGCUCUCUGGUCUGUAACUGACGCUGAGGUUCGAAAGCGCGGGUAGCAAGCAGG
rnacentral:rRNA from 1 species